AGCGGCGGACGGGUGAGUAACGCGUAGGAAUCUACCCAGUAGUGGGGGACAACUUAGGGAAACUUAAGCUAAUACCGCAUACGCCCUAAGGGGGAAAGCGGGGGAUCUUCGGACCUCGCGCUAUUGGAAGAGCUUGCGUUAGAUUAGCUAGCUGGUGAGGUAAUAGCUCACCAAGGCGACGAUCAAUAGCUGGUCUGAGAAGAUGACCAGCCACAAUGGGACCGAGAUACGGCCCAUACUCC
rnacentral:rRNA from 1 species